rnacentral:rRNA from 1 species
AUUGAACGCUGGCGGCAUGCCUUACACAUGCAAGUCGAACGGCAGCGGGGGAGAAGCUUGCUUUUCCUGCCGGCGAGUGGCGAACGGGUGAGUAAUACAUCGGAACGUGCCCUGUAGUGGGGGAUAACUAGUCGAAAGAUUAGCUAAUACCACAUACGACCUGAGGGUGAAAGUGGGGGACCGCAAGGCCUCAUGCUAUAGGAGCGGCCGAUGUCUGAUUAGCUAGUUGGUGGGGUAAAGGCCUACCAAGGCGACGAUCAGUAGCUGGUCUGAGAGGACGAUCAGCCACACUGGGACUGAGACACGGCCCAGACUCCUACGGGAGGCAGCAGUGGGGAAUUUUGGACAAUGGGCGAAAGCCUGAUCCAGCAAUGCCGCGUGUGUGAAGAAGGCCUUCGGGUUGUAAAGCACUUUUGUCCGGAAAGAAAUGGCUCUGGUUAAUACCUGGGGUCGAUGACGGUACCGGAAGAAUAAGGACCGGCUAACUACGUGCCAGCAGCCGCCGCAG